AAAAAAGUAACCAAAAACUAAAAAGAAACUUUGUUUGGUUCCCCAGAAAAUACAAAAGAAAAACACCUUAUCAGAUUAUCUUCUUUCUCCAAUUCAGAUUUUGUUCACGUUUCAAUAACUAUUCCAUGAGUUGUUAUCAAGUCAAACUUGAAUUUAAUCAUGCCUACAUCACGAUCGAACAAUGAUUAGACACUUGUAAUCAA
rnacentral:lncRNA from 1 species